AGAGUUUGAUCCUGGCUCAGGAUGAACGCUGACAGAAUGCUUAACACAUGCAAGUCUUUGGCGAAGCUGUGCUUGCACAGCCUAGCCAAGGCGGACGGGUGAGUAACGCGUAAGGGACUUGCCCUGCAGUCAGGGAUAACAGACGGAAACGACUGAUAAGACCUGGUAAAGUCAGGCGGACUCAUGUCCAGCCUGAUGAAAAGGAAUGCUGCAGGAGAGCCUUGCGUCCUAUUAGCUUGUUGGUGGGGUAACGGCCCACCAAGGCGAUGAUAGGUAGCCGGCCUGAGAGGGUGGACGGCCACAAGGGGACUGAGAUACGGCCCUUACUCCUACGGGAGGCAGCAGUGGGGAAUAUUGGACAAUGGGGGCAACCCUGAUCCAGCAAUUCUGUGUGCACGAUGAAGGUCUUCGGAUUGUAAAGUGCUUUCAGCAGGGAAGAAAAAAAUGACGGUACCUGCAGAAGAAGCGACGGCUAAAUACGUGCCAGCAGCCGCGGUAAUACGUAUGUCGCGAGCGUUAUCCGGAAUUAUUGGGCAUAAAGGGCAUCUAGGCGGCCCUGUAAGUCUAGGGUGAAAACCUGCGGCUCAACCGCAGGCCUGCCCCGGAAACUACAGGGCUAGAGUGCUGGAGAGGUGGACGGAACUGCACGAGUAGAGGUGAAAUUCGUAGAUAUGUGCAGGAAUGCCGAUGAUGAAGAUAGUUCACUGGACGGCAACUGACGCUGAAGUGCGAAAGCUAGGGGAGCAAACAGGAUUAGAUACCCUGGUAGUCCUAGCUGUAAACGAUGAUUACUGGGUGUGGGCAUGAAGAGUGUCCGUGCCGAAGCUAAUGCGAUAAGUAAUCCGCCUGGGGAGUACGGCCGCAAGGCUGAAACUCAAAGGAAUUGACGGGGACCCGCACAAGCGGUGGAGCAUGU
rnacentral:rRNA from 1 species